CCUACGGGAGGCAGCAGUGAGGAAUAUUGGUCAAUGGGCGAGAGCCUGAACCAGCCAAGUCGCGUGAAGGAUGACGGCCCUACGGGUUGUACACUUCUUUUGUCAGGGAGCAAUUUAGUCCACGUGUGGGCUUAGCGAGAGUACCUGAAGAAAAAGCAUCGGCUAACUCCGUGCCAGCAGCCGCGGAAAUACGGAGGAUGGGAGCGUUAUCCGGAUUUAUUGGGUUGAAAGGGUGCGUGGGCGGAAUAUCAAGUCAGCGGUAAAAGUUCGGGGCUCAACCCCGUCGUGCCGUUGAAACUGAUGGUCUUGAGUGGGCGAGAGGUAUGCGGAAUGCGUGGUGUAGCGGUGAAAUGCAUAGAUAUCACGCAGAACUCCGAUUGCGAAGGCAGCAUACCGGCGCCCAACUGACGCUGAAGCACGAAAGCGUGGGUAUCGAACAGGAUUAGAUACCCCUGUAGUC
rnacentral:rRNA from 1 species